AUAUACAUUCUUUUCAUUACUUCUACUUUCUUUUCGAUCCCUGCCAAUAAUACAGACAUCAUCUAUAGGAGGAGUUUGCAAUAAGGCGCAAUAUAGGUGUUUUCUGUUGACCUUUCCUGCAUCAGUCUAUGCUAUAAGUUACAAGAAAAGGAUUUUUCCAUGUAUUGAGUUAUCUGAUUAUUCACAAUGUCUUUGUCCUGUUGGGUUAAGAAGAUAUCGAUUCAAUUCUCACUGUUCUAAGUUGCAUUUGUUUAUGUUCUGUCGUAAUUGCAAUGCUUUAUCUAGUUUAGGCAUACAUGCAUUCGAACCUUGCUUUGGAUUUAAUGGACGGCCCUACACUAUGCAACCAUUAUAUUCUGCUGCUGUUAAUUACACUGCAUUCUCUCAGCUUGGAUCUUAUUACGGAUCACAACUUUCUGUGGAACAUCCUUCACCGUCAUCAACCUUGGCUGGCGGCAUGAGCAUCUAUUACAGUGGGAUAUGUGCCUCCUGCAGACAUGAUUCCUCAGCAUAAUGGUUUUGGACAGAUUACUCAGCAACAACCUGCUUCAUGUCUUGGAAUAGUCCAGUUAUCUAAGGCCGUGUCAGGCCUAGUGCAGCAGCAAUCGCCUGGAUCACCUUAAGAAUUGAAGAUCUGGGUCCUAUAUAUGGAAAUUCCUCAGGCCUAAACUUUUGAGACCUUUCCAGACCGAGAGAUUUUGGUAGGUGGACCUGACCCGACUGGUAAAAUGGAAGAGUGUGGAUGGGUCAGAGGACCUAAAAUGGGGGUCCUGAAGCUCCGAUCAUGACAAAGAAGGAGAAAACAGGAAGAGGAGAAGAGAGGAGAAGAAGAAGAAGAGGAAGAAGAAGAGGAGAAAAAGAAGAAUUGGAUUCGAAUUGAGUUUCAACAGAUAACUGUUUCAGUUACAGCUUAUUCCCUUUUAUUUCCAGGUUAGUGGCAGUAUGGUAAUUACAAUGAAAUCCAACAGUAAGGCAAGUUGCCAGUUAGUUGGCUAUGAACAGUAGAGAUCGUUUUACUUUGAUGAGAAUCGGACGGUCCCUCUUUGCCCUCCGCCCGGCAUAACCGCCUCUGUGACACUGAGUUCAGGAAAAAUGGAACAAACUGUCAUUGAGCUUCA